rnacentral:lncRNA from 1 species
AGAAGAUGUAAAUAGCAAGUUUACUAUUUAAAGCUUUGCAUCCUACAUAGAAGAUGUUGAUUAUCAAGGAUGUAUUAAAUAAUAAUUAUGCUUAUCAUUAUUUAAGAAGGUAUAUUUCAACUGUGUUUUCCUAUUGAAAAGCAAAAUAAAAGCAAAGUGGAAAACAAAAUAUAGUUAAUAUAUUUCAAACUAAUAAAUGAAAUGCUGAUCUGCUCUAUGACAUUGACUUGUAGACUCUUUCUCCGUUCUAGCCAAAAAUCACCUAGCAUCUCUCAGAUGGAGGACUUGCUAAAGUUGACUUUUGUUAACUGCACUAGUUUGCUUCAUUAACUAUAAGAUCAGGAAAAAACUGACAUACAGAAUACUUAGCCUGAAGAUGAGGGAUUUUUUUUCCCUGGAACAAUCAAUUUCAUUUUACAUAUAUUACCUCACUGAUCUCUAACAUUGUUCAAGGAUGGUGUUAUCUACAUUUGCAGAUAAGCUCCCUGCCCCCUCAAAAAGACUUGAGUCCAUCUUAAGAUUCAAUUAACUGUUAAUGUGUGUGUCUGCUAUGUGAUAAUCAUUAGAGCAAAAUUUGAAUUUGUACCUCCUAAAUUCCUAACAGGAUUAUUCUGUAUUGGCUGCCGCCUGGGAUAGCAUGGCUCAUUCAUCAGUUUUCUCUUAUUCUAAUCUAGGUGUCCUUGUGGUACCACAUGUAAACAGCUUCAGUUAUGUUUUACCUGGGAGUAAACCUCAGGAUAACUUUGAUCUUCUGGCUAGGAUGCUCAGAUACAGGAUGCUCAGAUGCCUGCUGGGAAUCAUGAAGUCUCUCCAAUCAUACUCAUCCUGAGAAGAGUAAGCUUCCCUGACUUCCUAUGAUGUGACAGACACUGUGCUGAUUGCUUUGCAUGCACACCACCACCACAGACCCUGUCCAAGAUGGAGAAGUGUAGCCUGACAGGACCCAGUAAAAUCUGAAGGUCCUGGCACACCCGACCACUCUGCCUGCAGCAAAAUGUCGGAGGCCAUUAAGGGGCUGAAGGGUAGGAAAGCAAACUAGCUUCAACAGCCCAUACUAGGCUGGUGAUAAUUCCAGGUAUG